GGAAUAUUGGACAAUGGGGGCAACCCUGAUCCAGCGACGCCGCGUGGGCGAUGAAGGUCUUCGGAUCGUAAAGCCCUUUUCUGAGGGAAGAGCAAGGACGGUACCUCAGGAAUAAGUCUCGGCUAACUACGUGCCAGCAGCCGCGGUAAAACGUAGGAGGCUAGCGUUAUCCGGAUUUACUGGGCGUAAAGCGCGUGCAGGCGGUGGUGCAAGUUGGGUGUGAAAUCUCCCGGCUCAACUGGGAGGGGCCGCUCAAUACUGCAUCACUUGAGGACAGGAGAGGGAAGUGGAAUUCCCGGUGUAGCGGUAAUAUGCGCAGAUAUCGGGAGGAACACCAGUGGCGAAGGCGGCUUCCUGGCCUGUUCCUGACGCUCAGACGCGAAAGCUAGGGUAGCGAA
rnacentral:rRNA from 1 species